rnacentral:lncRNA from 1 species
CCUGCUUCUAGGACCACAGGGUGUACACACACAACCACUUUUUGUAAUACAAUUUACUUUGGGGGUGGGGGUAGAGGGUGGGCAGCACUAGAACUGCUGAUUAUCUGAGAUUAUUACUAAUCGGGGUGACUAGGACGAAAGGAUCCUCCAGCUGCUACUCCUCCACUGACCUCGUGCAGGUGAGAGGAUUCAGGCCUGAGAACAGUUCCUGGGAAGGGAUUCUAUCCCCUAAAGCAACCAGGGACCCAAGAAAGGGUUAACUUUGAGCCCCACAGUGACUUCAAUCAUUGGCUCUGGGCACUGUCAGUCAGCGUUCUGGGGGCGGGGCUUACGGGGCCGCCCUAGGACUGCCCAGCGCCCCUCGCUUGCCCUCGACCCCCCACUUCAUUUCACUUCUGGGCUGCCGCCACACCCCCAUCACGGUGGAGACACCUUCCGGGGCCCUGGAGGAGGAGCAGAUCUGGGCAUCCUGGCUUCCCCACUCAUUCCAGCUGCCUGGCUUCCUGAUAGAUGGUGAUUAUUAUAUAAUAGACCUGCUGGACAGAACGGUGCCAGCUCUCGGAACACUUUGCCCCCUCCUUGAAGCCCCAGGGCCUGACAUCAGCAGUACAGAGCCCGCUGCCUAGCUCUGCCGGCGCCCCCGGCACUACCUCCAUUCCGGGGCGGGAGACCCCUGGGCCACCCUCGCUGGGGGGCCUGGGGCACGUCCUGAGAGUUGGGUCCGGCGCCCAGCAGGUCUCAGGGUCGGCCUGCGAAGUAUGGCUUUACCAGCGCCUCUCCAGAAUUGUGGGACCCACUUGGCCCCUUCCAACCUGAACUUGGAACUUGGGAACCCAAAGAGGUGGGGAUAGGGCGCGCAGGGGCCAGGGUCAGACAGGGAAAGGAGGGUUUGGAAAAACUGAGCAGGCAGCCAAGGCUUGGCUGGAAAUCCUGCAGCCCACCCUCCUGGGGACACAAAGCUGGAGGGCGGCGGCAGGGCGGGGGGAGAGAGCACGACCCCGGGGAGGGCAGGGCCUCUUCUGGGUCUGGGGGCCCAGGGACCAGGUCCCUGGGGAGGGGGUUCCUGGCGCUGUCUCCCUGCAGUCUGCUUCCCCCUUUCUCCCCCCCCACCUCUCCCCCCCUCCUCCCCCUCCCGGCUCCAGUCUUGCAGAUUGCGGGCAGACUUAACUCCUUGCGCGCCAGCGCGGUGGACUCCAUGGUGGUGACGCUUUGAGGGAGGGAAGGAGGGAGGGACUUCCAACCCCACUCCCACCCACAGCUUAACACCUUGAGGCCCGGAAGGCAGUCUCGGAACUUAGGCUUGUCAGAGUCCUGAGAAGGCUGCACACACAAAACCCGGCACCUGAGAGCUGUGUAAUCUAGUCCGCUGUCCUGCCAAAUCUUAACCGACUUGCCUCCCGCGCCACCCCAAUCCCCUCUGCCUCUUCCUCCACCCUUUGGCCACAUUCCCGCCACCACCUCUACUAGUUGCUGCAAAGGUCCCUGACAGAUAGGAGGCUGCGGGGAACCCGGAAGUCUGGGUUCUGUGGCUGCCUGGACCUUCUCUUCAUCCCGUCUGGGAGGCCCCGCACAGGUGACCGCAACCCGCGCUUUUCUGGCCUCCGGGGGACUCCUCCACCCACCUGUGGGGGUAGCUACCCACCCGAGGCAGGGGAUGCUAACCUUCCCCCUCUCCAGCUAGGACAAGGGCUAGAGUAGCCGGAAACCCUGACUUCACUUCCAGCCUAGCCCCUCUCCUAGGCAGCACUUCCUCCACCAUCAGAUUUGCCACACACACCCCCACCCCCAAUUCGGCCGCAAAUGACUGCCAGAGGGCAGUACCUCGGUCUAGGCAAGAAGGGGUUAACGGAGCUCAUAGGCUCCCGGUGAGAGCCAGGUGAGGCACCGCCCGUCUUGGCCUUCAGGUGUGUGGGUGGGGAAGUGGAGGGGCGCUGACCUCGGGGCUGCUCUUUUGCCCCCUGGUGGCUAGAUGUGGCUUAGCAGUCCUGGCAAAAGCUAGGCUCAGGUGGGGAUUGGUGGAGGGGAAACUUUGGAGUAGUCCUCCUGCAGGAAGAGCACCUUCAGGGAGAAAGAAUCCUCUGGGAAGGUCUGCGGAACGAGGGAGCUCCCACAAUCCCCGCCAUGCCAUCCCCACUCAACAGGCUGCCUCAGCCACUUUCAGAUCUUUGCACUUGGGACUCUACUUGUGGGUCCCAGAGUCCCUGGAGGAGGAAAGGCAAAAAUAAAAGAUAUGCGCCCUAUCCUGCCA